UACGUAGGGGGCAAGCGUUAUCCGGAUUUACUGGGUGUAAAGGGGGCGCAGACGGCAGCGCAAGCCAGGAGUGAAAGCCCGGGGCCCAACCCCGGGACUGCUCUUGGAACUGCGCGGCUGGAGUGCAGGAGGGGCAGGCGGAAUUCCUGGUGUAGCGGUGAAAUGCGUAGAUAUCAGGAGGAACCCCGGUGGCGAAGGCGGCCUGCUGGACUGCGACUGACGUUGAGGCCCGAAAGCGUGGGGAGCAAACAGG
rnacentral:rRNA from 1 species